AACGAACGCUGGCGGCAUGCCUAACACAUGCAAGUCGAACGAGACCUUCGGGUCUAGUGGCGCACGGGUGCGUAACGCGUGGGAACCUGCCCUUAGGUUCGGAAUCACUCCCCGAAAGGGGUGCUAAUACCGCAUAAUGUCUUCGGACCAAAGAUUUAUCGCCUUUGGAUGGGCCCGCGUUGGAUUCGCUAGUUGGUAGGGUAAAAGCCUCCCAAGGCGACGAUCCAUAGCUGGUCUGAGAGGAUGAUCAGCCACACUGGGACUGAGACACGGCCCAGACUCCUACGGGAGGGAGCAGUGGGGAAUAUUGGACGAGGGGCGAAAGCCUGAUCCAGCAAUGCCGCGGGAGUGAUGAAGGCCUUAGGGUUGUAAAGCUCUUUUACCCGGGAUGAUAAUGACAGUACCGGGAGAAGAAGCUCCGGCUAACUCCGUG
rnacentral:rRNA from 1 species